AUGGGUGAGGUUUGGGGCCAAUGGGUGAGGUUUGGGUCAGAAUCCGGCUACACCUUCAGUGACUACAGCUUGGGAUGGAUGCGACAAGCACCAGGGCAGGGGCUCGAGUUUGUCGCACGCAUUAGCAGUAGUGGUGGUACCACCAGAUACGCGCCAUCGGUGCAGGGUCGCUUCACCAUCUCCAGGGACACCUCCCAGAGCACGGUCACGCUGCAGAUGAGCAGCCUCACGACUGACGACACGGCCACCUACUACUGCGCGAAGGAAGCUGGUCUCUGGGCGGCCGUGACGCUGGUGGAGACCGGAGGUGACCUCCAGAGCCCUGGUGGGUCCCUGACGCUCGUCUGCAAGGCCUCGGGCUUCACCCUCAGCAGCUACAGCAUGGAAUGGGUGCGACAAGCACCAGGGCAGGGGCUCGAGUACAUCGCACACAUUAACAGUGGUGAUGGUAGCACCUAUUGACACCAGUGGUGGUACCACCAGAUACGCACCAUCGGUGGAGGGUCGCUUCACCAUCUCCAAGGACGACUCCCAGAGCACGGUAACGCUGCAGAUGAGCAGCCUCACGACCGACGACACGGCCACCUACUACUGCGCGAAGAGUUAUGGUAGUGGUUAUGGUGCUGCUUAUGGUGGCACCAAGGCCAUCGCCAUGAGCCAACCCCUUGUGCUGUGUCACUAA